GUCUACGGCUAUGCCACCCUGAACAAGCCUGAUGUCUGAUCUCGGAAGUUAAGCAGGGUCGGGCCUGGUUAGUACUUGGAUGGGAGACCAUCUAGGAAGAUGCUGUAGGUA
rnacentral:rRNA from 1 species